rnacentral:sRNA from 1 species
UUGCCAUUCCAGGCCAGGCAGGGCCAAGGGGCUUCAGGGACCCAUGCCCUCAUGGGGCUCACUGAGCUCGUCUCCCGGCAGCCAAGGCCCUGGCGUCUCCAAAUGAAGCCAGCUGUGGGGGAAGGUCCUUCUCAUGAGCCAGUCUGUCCUGGCUGGGGGUGGCAUCCCAGAGCCCCAUCUAGGAUGCCCAGGGAUGUAUAGUUCAUGCCGUGGAGGAAGUGGUGAAGGAGGUGGUGGGACAUGCCAAGGAGACUGGAGAGAAAG